AUGCAUGUCUAAGUUCACACUGUCUCACGGUGAAACCGCGAAUGGCUCAUUAAAUCAGUCGAGGUUCCUUAGAUGACACGAUCCUACUUGGAUAACUGUGGCAAUUCUAGAGCUAAUACAUGCUUAUUAAGCUCCGACCCUCGUGGAAAGAGCGCUUUUAUUAGUUCAAAACCAAUCGUAUGCUGGUCUCGGCCGGCUGCGUCCGCUUUGGUGACUCUGGAUAACUUUGUGCUGAUCGCAUGGCCUUGUGCCGGCGACACAUCUUUCAAAUGUCUGCCCUAUCAAAUGUCGAUGGUACGUGAUAUGCCUACCAUGUUUGUAACGGGUAACGGGGAAUCAGGGUUCGAUUCCGGAGAGGGAGCAUGAGAAACGGCUACCACA
rnacentral:rRNA from 1 species